UACGUAGGUGGCAAGCGUUGUCCGGAUUUACUGGGUGUAAAGGGCGUGCAGCCGGGAAGACAAGUCAGAUGUGAAAUCCCGCGGCUCAACCACGGAACUGCAUUUGAAACUGUUUUUCUUGAGUACCGGAGAGGUCAUCGGAAUUCCUUGUGUAGCGGUGAAAUGCGUAGAUAUAAGGAAGAACACCAGUGGCGAAGGCGGAUGACUGGACGGCAACUGACGGUGAGGCGCGAAAGCGUGGGGAGCAAACAGG
rnacentral:rRNA from 1 species